rnacentral:rRNA from 1 species
UGGGCGCAAGCCUGAUCCAGCAAUGCCGCGUGCAGGAUGAAGGCCUUCGGGUUGUAAACUGCUUUUGUACGGAACGAAAAGCCCUGGGUUAAUACCCUGGGGUCAUGACGGUACCGUAAGAAUAAGCACCGGCUAACUACGUGCCAGCAGCCGCGGUAAUACGUAGGGUGCGAGCGUUAAUCGGAAUUACUGGGCGUAAAGCGUGCGCAGGCGGUUUUGUAAGACAGAGGUGAAAUCCCCGGGCUCAACCUGGGAACUGCCUUUGUGACUGCAAGGCUAGAGUACGGCAGAGGGGGAUGGAAUUCCGCGUGUAGCAGUGAAAUGCGUAGAUAUGCGGAGGAACACCGAUGGCGAAGGCAAUCCCCUGGGCCUGUACUGACGCUCAUGCACGAAAGCGUGGGGAGCAAACAGGAUUAGAUACCCUGGUAAUCCACGCCCUAAACGAUGUCAACUGGUUGUUGGGUCUUAACUGACUCAGUAACGAAGCUAACGCGUGAAGUUGACCGCCUGGGGAG